CAAAGAGUCCCUCCCGACUGUUUACCAAAAACACAGCACUCUGCUAACUCGUAAGAGGAUGUAUAGGGUGUGACGCCUGCCCGGUGCUCGAAGGUUAAUUGAUGGGGUUAGCAUUAGCGAAGCUCUUGAUCGAAGCCCGAGUAAACGGCGGCCGUAACUAUAACGGUCCUAAGGUAGCGAAAUUCCUUGUCGGUUAAAUACCGACCUGCAUGAAUGGCGUAACGAGAUGGGAGCUGUCUCAAAGAGGGAUCCAGUGAAAUUGUAGUGGAGGUGAAAAUUCCUCCUACCCGCGGCAAGACGGAAAGACCCCGUGGACCUUUACUACAGCUUGACACUGCUAUUUGGAUAAGAAUGUGCAGGAUAGGUGGGAGGCUUUGAGUAUAUGACGCCAGUUGUAUAUGAGCCAUUGUUGAGAUACCACUCUUUCUUAUUUGGGUAGCUAACCAGCUUGAGUUAUCCUCAAGUGGGACAAUGUCUGGUGGGUAGUUUGACUGGGGCGGUCGCCUCCCAAAUAAUAACGGAGGCUUACAAAGGUUGGCUCAUAGCGGUUGGAAAUCGCUAGUAGAGUAUAAAGGUAUAAGCCAGCUUAACUGCAAGACAUACAAGUCAAGCAGAGACGAAAGUCGGUCUUAGUGAUCCGGUGGUUCUGUGUGGAAGGGCCAUCGCUCAAAGGAUAAAAGGUACCCCGGGGAUAACAGGCUGAUCUCCCCCAAGAGCUCACAUCGACGGGGAGGUUUGGCACCUCGAUGUCGGCUCAUCGCAUCCUGGGGCUGGAGCAGGUCCCAAGGGUAUGGCUGUUCGCCAUUUAAAGCGGUACGCGAGCUGGGUUCAGAACGUCGUGAGACAGUUCGGUCCCUAUCUGCCGUGGGCGUAAGAAGAUUGAAGAGAUUUGACCCUAGUACGAGAGGACCGGGUUGAACAAACCACUGGUGUAGCUGUUGUUCUGCCAAGAGCAUCGCAGCGUAGCUAAGUUUGGAAAGGAUAAACGCUGAAAGCAUCUAAGCGUGAAGCCAACUCUAAGAUGAAUCUUCUCUAAGCUCUCUAGAAGACUACUAGUUUGAUAGGCUGGGUGUGUAAUGGAUGAAAGUCCUUUAGCUGACCAGUACUAAUAGAGCGUUUGGCUUAUCUUAUAAA
rnacentral:rRNA from 1 species